CCGUGAGGGAAAGAUGAAAAGCACUUUGGAAAGAGAGUUAAACAGUACGUGAAAUUGUUGAAAGGGAAACGAUUGAAGUCAGUCAUGCUCUUUGGUAUUUAUAUCAUUGAGUGGGGUCAACAUCAGUUUUGAUCGAUGGAUAAAGGCACUAGGAAUGUAGCACUCUCGGGUGAACUUAUAGCCUAGCGUCAUAUACAUUGAUUGGGACUGAGGAACGCAGCAUGCCUUUAUGGCCGGGAUUCGUCCACGUACAUGCUUAGGAUGUUGACAUAAUGGC
rnacentral:rRNA from 1 species